rfam:Glossina fuscipes fuscipes unplaced genomic scaffold Scaffold5, whole genome shotgun sequence.
GUGUAGAUUGAAAGGAGAGCAAGUUAGCACUCCCCAUAGACAAGGAUGGAAUCACAUACAAAUAAUUCACAUAAACAAAAACAAGUAAAUAUAUUC